UAUAAUUCUCGGACAACUUAAUUUUUGUGUCAAAAUUUUCGGACACCUGUAGUUUUAAAAUGUUUUUAGUAUCUAAAUUUUUGGACACGAGAAAACAAAUAUUUGUAAGUGUCCUAAAACUUAGAGUAAUAAGUGUUACCGUAGUACAUGUCUGUAAGAUCAUUUGCAAAUUUUAGUGUAUUAGUACAUGUCUGUUACAUCAUUUGCAAGUAAAGUUUAUUAGUAUGUGUCUGUUACAUCAUUUGCAUAUAAAGUUUAUUUGUAUGUGUAUGGUGUAUCAGUACAUGCCUUACAUCAUUUAUCAUGCUCUUUUUUAGCUCACCUGUCACGAAGUGACAUGGUGAGCUUAUGUGACCGUGUGAUGUCCGGCGUCUGUUGUUUGUGCUUGUGUGCGUCCGUCAACAAUUUGUUUGUGUAGACAGUAGAGGGCACAGUUUUCAUCCAAUCUUUAUGAAAUUUGGUCAGAAUGUUUAUCUUGAUGAAAUCUGGGUUAGGAUUGUAUUUUGGUCAUCUGGGGUCAAAAACUAGGUCACUAGGUCAAAAACUACGUCACAUAAUAGGUCAAAUAAUAGAAAAACCUUGUGUAGACAAUAGAGGUCGCAGUUUUCAUCCAAUCUUUAUGAAAUUUGGUCAAAAUGUUUAUCUUGAUAAAAUCUGGGUUGGGAUUGUAUUUGGGUCAUCUGGGGGUCAAAAACUUGGUCACUAGGUCAAAAACUAGGUCAAAUAAUAGAAAAACCUUAUGUAGACAGUAGAGGUCACAGUUUUCAUCCAAUCUUUAUGAAAUUAGGUCAUAAUGUUUAUCUUGAUGAAAUCUGGGUUGGGAUUGUAUUUGGGUCAUCUGGGGUCAAAACUAGGUCACUAGGUCAAAAACUAGGUCAAAUAAUAGAAAAACCUUGUGUAGACAAUAGAGGUCACAGUUUUCAUCCAAUCUUUAUGAAAUUUGGUCAAAAUGUUUAUCUUGAUGAAAUCUGGGUUGGGAUUGUAUUUGGGUCAUCUGAGGUCAAAAACUAGGUCACUAGGUCAAAUAAUAGAAAAAUCGUCAACAAUUUGUUUGUGUAGACAGUAGAGGUCACAGUUUUCAUCCAAUCUUUAUGAAAUUUGGUCAGAAUGUUUAUCUUGAUGAAAUCUGGGUUGGGAUUGUAUUUGGGACAUCUGGGGUCAAAAUCUAGGUCACUAGGUCAAAAAAUAGAAAAACCUUGUGUAGACAAUAGAGGUCACAGUUUACAUCCAAUUUUUAUAAAAAAAUUAUCAGAAUGUUUAUCUUGAUGAAAUCUGGGUUUGGAUUGUCUUUGGGUCACCUGGGGUCAAAAACUAGGUCACUACGUCAAAUAAUAGAAAAACCUUGUGUAGACAAUAGAGGUCACAGUUUUCAUCUAAUCUUUAUGAAAUUUGGUCAGAAUGUUUAUCUUGAUGAAAUCUGGGUUGGGAUUUUGUAUUUGGUUAGUCAGGUGAGCGAUUCAGGGCCAUAAUGGCCCUCUUGUUUAUAAAU